UUAUUAUUUUAAUUAAUAUAACAUACUAUGUUCAUCAAAUAUUCCAUUCGUAAAUUCGUUGCAGUUUAAUUAAUUAAGAAACAAUUGGCUACUGAAAUUAAUUUCGGGCCAUGUUGGACAUUAUUAAGUUCGGCGAAAGAAGUUAAUUGUAGAGGGAGCAAUUCUUGAGCCUGGGGGGCUGGGUAUAAUAAUUCACAUUGCUCAGUCUAUAUAUGAGCAAAGGUUAAACGUGACGACCGUCGAAAAGUUUUCUUCAGGUUGGGAACGUACGUUACAACACAUACACUAAAAUUGUUUGGACAGCCGUUUAAUUAAUUAAUUUAAUGUUUUUGCUGCUGCUCACUUUCAAUAUUGUCGUUUGUUAUUCUGCUUCUCAGUAAUCGGUAUUUACAGCGCCCUUGUAUGUGGAACAAGUUCACUCACGUUCUUCAGUUUGAAGGUUACAAUACAUAUCUAAACAUGUCCAACUACUAUCAAACCACAUGCAUUGCACGAGAAGUCCAGUUGUCCACGACCACGAUCAAUCCAUUCGUCCAAUAUGUGGGAAAAGUAAACACUGAUGCUGUUAAUGAAGCAAUAUGCUGUUAAUACGUUCAAAGACG